rnacentral:lncRNA from 1 species
ACCCCCAACUACCACCACCUGGGGCUGAGGAUCAGAUCUGUAGACUCUCCGUGCAGUAGCGAUCAGAGCUUGAUGAGCCCCCUCCUGGCUGCACUGGAGUGUCAGGAACCAGACCCUAGCAGAGCUCAGCACCCAGCUCCUUUGUCUCGCCCGCCCCCUCGUCCCCACUUCCUGCCCAGCUUCUAGCUAGCGAUCUGCGAUGCGGCACGGACUUUGUAAACACGCCGCGCCUGUGGGGUGGACGCCUGUUGUGUUUGGGUGCCGCGGAAGCGGGGUGCACGCCCCUGUCCUGUCCGUGCUGGCGGCUGUGAUCACGCCUACUGUCCAAAAACAGAUCUCCAGCAGCUGGAGAGAACGUGAGGCCGCCAUCCGAGCUUCGGGGGACUCAACUGCCAAGAGCCCUGAGCCCUGA